ACACUUGUUCAUUUUUUUUUUUUAGGUGGAACUCAUUAAAAACUUGAACAUUUGGGGUAGUGAAACCUCAAAUAUCAGUCACUGGUUUUUGACUUUUGAUCAUAAGGAAGAGUAGGCAAUGUUUGAGACAUCUGUUCCAUAAAAAAAAAUACAAAAAAACAAAACAAAACAAAAAAACAGCUGUGCACAUUCCCUGGGAAAUAAAUUCUCCAUUAGGGUUAAUCACUCUGUUUUUAGUAGAACAUACUGAUUUUGUGUCAGCAUUUGAGGAGUUAAAUGUCAAGAGCUUAGAAGGAGGACAUCACAUUUUGCUAGGUGCCUGGAAUAUCAAUAGAGUUCUGUCUGGCUCAAAAUCCACAUAGCCUGUUUGCUGUUAACUGUUCCAGAGUUCUUUUUAAAAUAGAAUUUCCAUGUUAACAUUACUGUGCCUUAAUACUUUUUGACCCUAUGUGUUUCAUUUUAAAGUUGUUUUGAAUACAGGGUGCUUUUAAAAGCCUGUAGACAAAAGAAUUCUGUAAAAUCAACCUGCUAACCAAAAUGUAUUUCUGUGCUGCCCAGCUAUUUGUGUUUAAGAAUUCUCUUCUUGAAAGGAGAGAAUUAGACUUAUUUUAUUAAUGGACAGCUGGCACUUUAGAUUACACUUUAGUGCCAGGAACCUUAAUCAGUAAAGACAGCUCAGAUUUAAGGCUUGAUUUCAACUUGUACCCUUCGCUUGAAUGGAAGCUCUGUGAUUGAUAGAUCAGGCCAUGAUUACUAAUCUCGUUUGCUCUCCAUGCUUACAGAAUAACAACUUGUUACCUUCAGACUUGAUAUUUUAGUCUACUAGACAACCUUAUGCAUUUGAUCUUUGGAAAUUCUUAAAAUAAUCUUUAAUUAAAGCACUUGGAAAAAAAUUUACCCUCUCCUACAUUCUUUCUCCUUUUGCUUCCAUUUUCCAUAAAUUAUUCUGUUUCAUUUUGAUUGCAAUCAAGCAGUUAUCUUUUGAACGUUAAAUCAAACCUGCCAAUAGAGAGCUACCUUGGAUGAGUCUGUAGAAGGACCAAAGUCAAAAUGUAGCUCAGAGAACACGUAACUGAAGUGAGUAAGCAGGGUUUUUUUCCUUAAAGAAGAUUUGAGCCAUGAGUGAGAACAAAAUAAGACUUUUAAUUACAUAUGGUCCUAAUCUUUUUUAACUGUAAUUUACAAAAUCCCAGUUGUAAGUGGAAUCAGAUUGCUAUUUAACUAACUGUGAAGUUAAGGGUUUUCUUGGUUCUCAGGUGUAUAUGCACAAGGCUUUUUAUAAAGGGAGGCAGGGGGUUGCUAUCAGUGACACAAAGGAAUAAAGGUGAACUGCCCUAUGCUGGCUUAGAAGGUGAAAGGGAGGAUAAGUUGGUGAGCACUGAAUCCUACGUGAAGGAACUUCAACCCUGUUUCUGUCCACACACUGCUUCUUACUGCAUAAAACUUUUACCUCUAGCUUUGUGAGAUGACAUCCUUAUGUGUAUUAUUAAAAUACUUAGUUUGUGACUGCUAAUUAUCACAAUAAGAAAUGAAUUAACUACCUGAAAAGGACUUCAGACAGCUUAGUAAAUUCUAGUGCAGAUCUUUAAGUGUAUUUCCGCGUUUGUGGUCCACAUACCUUUUCAUUUCUUGCUGUUACUACUUUCCUGACCCAGGUGGGUGCCAUUGAACUCAAUAUCUUUAUUAUGGUUGAUUCAAGAUAAGGAGGGGCCCCUCAGUGUACUUCAGAUAUAAUGACUUGUACAUGGAAAAGCUUCUGCAAAAGAAGGGCAAGAACCCAGGUAACGAUGUCAUCCCCAAACCUGGAGGAUUUGUCCACAGCAUUUUCAUCCUCAGAUGCAUCUGGGAAACACUUGCAUUUUGAAGUCUAAUCACAGAAAUACAGAGAAAGGAUCUUAGAUAAAAUACUUUGGGAGAUUCAACAGUGUUAUCUGC
rnacentral:lncRNA from 1 species